AAUAUGGGAAUCUGACGUAAAGGGCUGCUUCACUUUACACGAAGCCCGCAUGCUUGCGCAUGUGCCAUCCCUGGAGAAAACGUCGGAAAAGAAACACGAAGAUGUGUUCAAAAAGCGCUUGGAGCUGAUCUUGGAUCCUUGCGUCAAAGAUUAUUUACCCUCAGUGAGCGAAGUUGGGUUCCCUGUCCUUAUACACACACCUGGGACAACGCCAUCUCAAACUUCAGAUGCCGUACUUGUACCGCCAGGCUUCACCACGUACAUCGGUCUCACGUUGCUUGUCCAGACAGGGCUCGAGGCACCCUACAAGAAGCAGUGCGCGCUUGAUUGGCCCCAACACUUGGCUUUUUAUGGUUCACUCAGCGGAAAAGCGUACAGUAAGCAG